GAUGAACGCUGGCGACGUGCCUAAUACAUGCAAGUCGAGCGAAUGGAUUAAGAGCUUGCUCUUAUGAAGUUAGCGGCGGACGGGUGAGUAACACGUGGGUAACCUGCCCAUAAGACAGGGAUAACUCCGGGAAACCGGGGCUAAUACCGGAUAACAUUUUGAACCGCAUGGUUCGAAAUUGAAAGGCGGCUUCGGCUGUCACUUAUGGAUGGACCCGCGUCGCAUUAGCUAGUUGGUGAGGUAACGGCUCACCAAGGCAACGAUGCGUAGCCGACCUGAGAGGGUGAUCGGCCACACUGGGACUGAGACACGGCCCAGACUCCUACGGGAGGCAGCAGUAGGGAAUCUUCCGCAAUGGACAAAAGUCUGACGGAGCAACGCCGCGUGAGUGAUGAAGGCUUUCGGGUCGUAAAACUCUGUUGUUAGGGAAGAACAAGUGCUAGUUGAAUAAGCUGGCACCUUGACGGUACCUAACCAGAAAGCCACGGCUAACUACGUGCCAGCCGCCGCCGUAA
rnacentral:rRNA from 1 species